rfam:Rattus norvegicus chromosome 7, whole genome shotgun sequence.
GGGGAUUUAGCUCAGUGGUAGAGCGCUUGCCUAGCAAGCGCGAGGCCCUGGGUUCGGUCCCCAGCUCCA